rnacentral:rRNA from 1 species
GUGCCAGCCGGCCGCGGUAAUACGGAGGUCCCAAGCGUUGUUCGGAAUUACUGGGCGUAAAGGGGGCGCAGGCGGCCAGGUCAGUGGAAAGUGGAAGCCCGGGGCUCAACCUCGGAAGGCCUUUCCAUACUGCCUGGCUUGAGUAUGCGAGAGGAGAGCGGAAUUCCGGGUGUAGCGGUGAAAUGCUUAGAUAUCCGGAGGAACACCAAUGGCGAAAGCAGCUCUCUGGCGCAAUACUGACGCUGAGGCCCGAAAGCGUGGGGAGCGAACGGGAUUAGAAACCCCAGUAGUCC